CUCACCAGUGGUAUCUGAUAGUGCACACAGCAAAGGAACAGCAAGCUGUUGGGUUACUGUACCUGGAAGAGCUGCAAGGAAGCAUUCGUGAGUCCAGCACGCCCAAUUCCUAUCUGACAUGAAUAAGAGGCAGGAAUUUCGUGUGGCAUCUCUAUGCUGGACCUGGCAUUCCUGUGGUGGUUCUCUGCGUUGGUGUACAAACAUCUGGCUGGAGAGCACAGGGAGCUCCAACUCUUCCUUGAUCAAAAGAGGAUCUAACCCAGGAGGACCGGAGGACUCCGAGUAGGGGAAAGCACAGCUCAGUCUGAAAGGUUCCAUGCACAGAACUGAAGUCAAUGGGAAGGCUGAUGGAGAUGGGGAAAUGUGGCCCUGCACUGUAGUACUGACUCUCCAACUGUCCACAUCCAGAUCUGGGCAUGGAGAGGAGGAUAAGGACUUCUCAGGCUGACAAGCUGCCUUUGGACAGGUGUCUUUUUAACCUGUCCCACAAACCAGUGCCAAGGUGACAACUGAAGCUCAGCCAGUCACUGACAACUUGCUUUACUGAUAAAUGACCAAGCUCUCAGAUAACAUGGACCAGCUAAGGCCUUUCUCCUCAAUGAGGUCGCCUUCAGUUUCUUGCCACAGACUGCUUUGGGACUGUCAAAACGCCUGAUGAAAAAUGCUAACUAGCUGAUUUGGGAGCACAUGCAAACUGAUAACUGGUCCACAGAGCUGAGCACCCAAACCUGUCAUUCUCACAGAUCUCUGUGUCAAAGAUGGAAAAAUGCAUGCAUGUGGGUAUAGAUGUAGAUUCAGAUGCAGAUGUGGAGGGCAGGGUAAGGGAAACUAAGACAACGAGGCUUAGCUUUUCUGUCCAUGGGCCCAUCUGACCCCUCUAGCCAACUACCAGCCCUCUACCAAAACAGAAUGGCAAUAUAAGCCCUGUUUAUUAGAAACAUGCAGAAAUAAUUGAAGCCACUCUGGCCUUACGUGUUAGCAACAAUAUUUCAACGUAAUAACAUAAUGGUAAAAAUCCUUGAUAGUCUCAAACUGAUGAAGUACUAUUUUGAUCUAAGUUCUCUUAGCAGGAAAGGCUAGAAGUAUCUUUAGAUACCCGAAGAUCUAUAAGAAAGAGGUUUGGGUCACCAGAGGUAGCUUUCCACCUAUAGGUGUGGAUGAUGGUCAGCUCUCACUUAGGAACGUGGUCAAACAUCUGCAUAGUCUGUCCAGAGAACAGCCAGCUAAUUUUAUCUCUGAAAUCCUGCAUAUGAAACACAUUCUGGUGGUUACAUGGCAACGUAAAAUCAACAAGCAGUCCUUUCUGAAACAAAUCCUUACAACUAUUUCUGAAAGAAAAAAAAAAAAAAAAAAAGAACCAUGGAACAGUGCCAUAUUAAAAAACUCCAGCAUUUGCAAACAGCUCUUACAGUCAGUAAUGCUGCAGCAUGUUUUUACAAUAGCUGUCUUAGGACACGCAUGCUAAUAGCAAUCUGUUGGUCUUAGGAAGAUACUAUUAAAUAGUCAUCAUCCUGUCGUCUACAUUAUAGGUUAUGUGGAUUGUAAAACAAGUUAUACGAGAGAUCAUGAAACUAUAGAACCUCAAAGGAACCACUGUGUUUUUUCUGGUAAGCAGAAAAGUUUCUUUUACUUAUACAGACACUCCUUUCACCUUUUAGUAAUGUCUAAAGCAUAAUUAGCAAACUGCUUUGAGUCUAGACAUUUUCAACUUUAAAGAACUAAUAAAAUAUUACUUACCAGUUUUCCUCUAGACUAAAAAUGAAAAUACACCAUUCAAUUUACCACUGAUUUUUAUAAUCUUCUGCACUCCUUCUCUCCUAGCUGGUGUAUGGAUCCCCUUUCUGCCUGGAUCACAUGAAAGUGUUCUAUUAAUGUGAAUUGGCUUAUGUUUGAGAACACUAUGCUGGAGAGCUAUGAAGUGCAAGGAAUCUGACCCAGGGAUCUGCAGGGCUGUGACACAUCAGUUCUUUACAGGAAUUCUCAGUUGCUGGUUGAGAAUAACACAAGAUAGGUCCCGUACAUGGCGUGCAGUCUGCUGUCAUUGUUGAUGUUAGUAAACCUUUUGCCUAAGGCAGUGAGACGAGCUCCUGAUACGCCAUUGUAACUGGAAUUUCCCCCUCUAGCAGUCACUGCAGGACUAUAAGUAGGCAGUGUCAGGCUGCCUCUCCACCCAGCUAACUCAGUAAGUUGGGAAAACCAUUCCUCACUAACACACACAGCCACUGCAUGGCUGCAAGUGAUAGCUGCCUCAAGAAAAACACUGCAAGUCAGCACUGCUCGCCGUGUUUCCUGAGGAAUGCUUUGCUGGAGUUCAGAACAAACAUUCGAGGUCUGGGAACGCUACGAGAGUGCCUGGCAGAAGAAAAGCCUCCUGCCACCAUUCCAUUCGAAACCCCUUUGCCAGUGUUUAGUCUUCUCUCACCCACACGCUUGGCAAGGAGGGAGAGCAGCCCGUCUCUUCUCCCUGCCGAUAAGAUGGAGCUCUCAGCCCGCUUGUCUGAACGCAGCAGUUGAAGGAAGACGCACAACUGGGUUUUGUUUUGCUCCAGAGGGAGCAAGUCUGACCUAUUUUACACACAGGCGCAACAUCACCUUCGUGAUUCUUUUAGGAAAAUACAUGCCACUGCAGCAUAGGUGACUUAGCUAUAAAAUCCCACACCAGGGGUGGGAGAGAAAAGAAAGGAAAGCCACACCAAUCACCAAAGUGACUUUAAGUAGAACACAUCUUCUGUUCCAUCAUGCCCCUGAAAGAUCCUCCCUUGGAAUACGUUAUUUCAGACAGGAAAAAGGUGUUCCUUUCUUCAGAGAUGAAGUUGCGUGCCUUUAGCCACAUGUAAUAGAAACAUAAUGGGUUCAGUGCAACGGGCGAAGAAAUGACUGAGUUGUUAGUAUAAAGCCAAUCACAGAAGCACUUCGGUCUCACUUCACUGUUUGCACAGUGUUGGCAACGUCUGAAGGGUGAUAACUGCCAGAGACUGCUAUAAGGAAAAGGGGAUUCCUAUGGAUUUUCUGGGAAGAGAGGAAUUACUGCCAUACCAGAAGUUCAGCGUCGAAAUAACUGCACAGUUAUGCACCAUAUUGUGGUCACAACUCCACAGAGCACUAACUGCCUUCUUCUUGUUGUUGUUGUUGCAAAAACACGUUCUGCAUUUGAUUUUAAUUCCUUUGCUUCUCCAUUAGAAACGCAUUGGCCGGACCACCAAGGCAGCAGCAGUCUGGCUAUUCUCCACUCCGAUGCACCACUGACGUCUGUGUAUAUGUGUAUGUGUAUAUGUGCAUGUGUAUAUUUCAUGUUCCUGCUUUCAAAGCUCUGGUCUGUAUUUUUUAUUUCAAAAUAAAUUGCUCUUUGAAUGUAAUGAGAAAGUGGAAGGCAUUGGGUG
ensembl:lncRNA